AGGGGCGCCAGCGUCUCGGGGCUGCCCUAAUGGCUCCUGCUCAGUGCGCGGCGCCAGCGCUUGUCUUGUCCCGGCUGCGUCUCUGGGCCCCACGGGCCCCUCCUCACAUGGCAACUAUUGUGGCUACUAGUCCAGGCGGCUUAGCCUCUGGAGUGGGUCCAGGACCCGCUCCAGCUGACCUCUGACUCCCUGGGGCCAACUUAGCCCUGGUCUUCCCGCUCCUCCGAUCUCCCACGCGAAUCGCCGCCAUGAGCUAACUCCCCACCCCCGGGCAGACCCGGGAGAGCUUUGAUUACCUGGGGUCUUCUGCUUCCUCCCAGACGUCAGCUCCGCUUCAGGAAUCGACUGAGACUUUGGCUCAGAGUUUGGUUCCAUUCUUGGACACGGAUUCAGCUGGAGAGCUGCCCCGGGGCCAGAGCAGUUCGCUGCUGCACACUGGGAUCUGAAUGACAAGCUGACUCGGCACAGAAGUCUCCCAGAGGUGGUUGCAAUGCUAGACUGGGAUCAGAACCAGGCCCUAGCUCGGCCUCUUUGCCUCAAAAGUAAGUUUCUAACUGUAGAUCUAGAUCAGGCUGCAGAUCAUCAGGCAUAUGAAAUACUUGUUCCACCUCUAGAUAGAAAUCAAAAGCAAGGAACUUUACUGUUUCGCCCAAGAACCGGAAGAAAGAUCUAGCUCAGCAUCAAAGGCUUGCCAAGGUUGUUGUUGGAACUCCAUACCGAUUUGUAUCAAAACCUCAGCGUCAGAAACAAACUCUGCAGAAUGGGUAUUUAGAUUCAAGUAUGGAUAUACUGUAUCUGGGCAGCCUGCCUCCAGAACUCCAGGUGAGCUCAGAUGAGCCUCCAGGGCCUCCUGAGCAAGCUGGACUUUCUCAGUUCCAUCUAGAGCCUGAAACUCAAAAUCCAGAAACCACUGAAGAGAUCCAGUCCUCUACUCCAGCAAGAAGCUGCAGCGCAGCUUCCACAGCUCCCUGAGGUGGUAGAACUUUCUUCAACCAAAGCUGGAGGCCCCAGCUCUGCCUUCACAGUCCCUUGAGGGGGUCCACUCUUCAACAGAGCAGAAGGCUCCAGCACAGCAGCUACCUGCCUUUGAAGAGAUCCUAGCCCCACUAUUGAUACAUCAUGAGGUAAAUGUUCCAUUGAAAAGUUGGAGUGAAGUUCAGCACUCACACUUGCCCAGUGUCACAAUCAAACCUGUGGACGUGGAGCUUACGGUAACUCCAGAGCCAGGUAAGAAACUUACAACAAGCCAGGAACAGGCCCCAGCUCAGCCUCCAGAACACUCCAAAGAGGUGGGCUCUUCCUCAACCCAAUUAUAGCCCCCAGCUCAGACUCCAGACCCCCCUAAGGAGGUAGAACCUUCUCCAGUCCAGCAGAGUUCCCAGAUGAGCCACCAGAGCCCCCUAAGGAGGUUGAACCAUCUGCAACCCAGCAGGAAGCCUCAGGUCAUCCUCCGAAGUCCACUGAAGAGGUCAGUCCUCCACUGCAGCAGGAGAUACCAGCUCAGCCAUCAGAGCCACCUGAGAAGGUCAAACCAUCUCCAGUCAUAAAGCAGCCCCCAACUCAGCUUUUAGAGCCACAUUCAAAGUAAUUAACUGGUAUUAUCUGUCCAAGAGAUUGGAUGGAUAGGAAGUUAAACUUCUGGGAGAUGCCUCAUUAUUUGUACCAGUGGCUCCACAUUAUUUCUUGAUUAAUUGUGCAGACUGAGAAGCUGACAGCUAGUUUUUCCAAUUCAAGAGUCAUCAUGGGGAUGUUCUCAAUUGUUGUUAGUGGGACUUGUGUUGUUUCCAUGUCGAGAUAUUGUAAUGCCGGUAAUUUAAACAGAUAAUAAUCUCCAAUAGUUGUCAGAGGAUUGUGAUUGAGAAUUGUUAGUGGUGAAGGUUCGAGAUAGAAGCUCUUCUUGCUGUCCCUCCUGCUGCUCCCUUGCAUAGCACCAGUGCUGGAAGUUUCUGAGAGCAGUCUGCAGGUGCUGAACAUCAUACUUAAACUGGUCAACCCGAAGUUUGGCAUUCUGCCUUUUAUUAGGGGGCUCCUUGCUGGACAAAAUCUCCCGAUGUUCUAGAUGGCUGAAUAUCUGGUCUGUGCUUGCUUGGAUUUCACCUUCUACUAAGUGCACAGACUGCUUGUCUGCCGUCUCCAGGUGUCCCAUGUGAGAAUGUAUCUCAUGGACCUGCUUGUGCGUUUGCUGGUUCAGGGGCUCCAUGUCACCGGCCCAGCUGGCCCCAACUCCAGCUCUGGCUUCCUUGGAAUAUGUCCUCGCAGCCCUGCUUCUAAUUUAUUUUUUUUAAUUAAGAUGCAUUGGUUUUUUGCUGAUCAAAAAUUCUGACAUAUGGCCGGGCGUGGUGGCUCACGCCUGUAAUCCCAGCACUUUGGGAGGCCGAGAUGGGCGGAUCACGAGGUCAGGAGAUUGAGACCAUCCUGGCUAACACGGUGAAACCCCAUCUCUACUAAAAAUACAAAAAAUCAGCCGGGCAUGUUGGCGGGCGUCUGUAGUCCCAGCUACUCGGGAGGCUGAGGCAGGAGAAUGGCGUGAACCCGGGAGGCGGAGGUUGCAGUGAGCGAGAUCGCACCACUGCACUCCAGCCUGGGCGACAGAGCGAGACUCCGUCUCAAAAAAAAAAAAAAAAAAAAUUCUGACAUAUUACUGACAAUUUCAAAAACAGGAAAAGUCUGACAGUAUUAGUAGGGUUGACUAAAACAAUAUGAAAUUGACUAAAAUAAGUGGACUGUUUUGCAAUUAAAAAAUUUUAAGUCAAUGCAAA
rnacentral:lncRNA from 10 species